UGGAUUGUUCUCAAGUCGUAGAGAAAAACGAUGUUUCACUGGACCAUGUCCUGUGCCCAUUAAACCUAAAUCAUUUCAGGUCAUGACAUGUUCCAUCUGCUGCCAGCCCAAUGUGAGCGGUCCCCUAGUGGCCCAGAUCAACUGCGCCAUACACAGGCAGGACUGGGACGCAGAGUAUGAGAGUAUGACUCAUCAGGAGUUAUGUGAUAAACUCAUGGAAUUGUAUCCAAAACUUGGUGAGGUAACUGGUGGUUGGCUUCUUUAUAAGGCAGCAGGGGGUUGGGGAAGCUGGAAGCUCUCACUUGUGGCACCUGCAGACUGUAGGUACACUGGCAGGCUUAUCAAAACCUCCAAAACGGGAGAAUUCUGUCAUCUAUAUAGCUCCACUACAAGAUGAGCUCGAUGUCACUCCUUUGCCACCAUCAUCAGAAGAAUUUCGAGAUAUGCCUAAAGCAAUGUGCAAAAAAUGCAAAAUACUGUACCCACUUCAGAUCCUCACAAAUCACAUUAAGACUUGUCCUGAUGUUGUUGUGGUCGAAGAUGGAGAUGAAACUCU